CCUGUCUGCGGGGCGAGAGCCGGUCCCGGGCCGACCGUGCGCCCGGGGAGUUUGUCUCCGACGCCUCGGGGUGCGGCAGCCGGAGGUCUAAGCGCAGGUUGAAAACUACAGGUACAAGCCAUUGACUCUGGAACCCUGUGAUGCUGGUAUUUUAACUGACUGACUCCAACUUUCACACUACAGUUCACAAUAAGCAAGUUCCUUUUAAUGAGGUCAGACGUCCUUCGAUAACUUGUAGCAACCAUGUGUCCUGCACCGGCACAGAAGUUAGAGCAGUGGCACAGUGCUGGUGGUGAGAGGGCAGCGUAGUGGGUGCUUUAUUUUCAUCUUUUCAUUUCUCACAACUCAGUGAAGUCAGUACUCUCAUUUUGCAGGUGAAGCAACAUCAAGCCCCCCCCUUCCCAGGACUCUGGGCCACCCCUAUAUCCAGUCUUAGUCAAGAAUUAGAAGAAAGGAUCCCCCAUGUCCCACCUCCAACCUAUGUGGAAAGGACCUUCCCCCAUUCUCUUAAAGUUCCCGAAGCAGAUCCCCAACUGCCAAAUUCCGAGAGAGAGUUCUUGGCGCAAGUGCAAAGAUUAGGUUUAAAUGAAUGUAGCCUAAUGUAAGCAGGAAUAGAAAGGGCACGAUGGUGCUAAAUAGAAUAGGAAGGUGCUGGAGGUGAUGGGGAAAGUUUUCAGGAUGAAUGCAGCCCAGUAUGUGCUGGAAGUUCCUGUUGCUCAGCUCAAUGUCUACCUCAUUUCCUGAAAUCGUAAAUAAAGGUAUUUAAUAUUCA